GGCAGGGGCGGGGGGAUUUGAGAAGCAAAUGAAGUUCACAGCCCAGGGGCACAGGCUCAGGGAAGACUGAGAUCCAAUCGCAGGCUGCAGCCACCCUACCACCAGGCCAUGGCCACCUCAGUCCCUUAUCAAAGGCCUAUGUACCCAGCUUCCUUUCAUCUAGUUCAUUAUGUCUGGCUUUAAAAAAUAAAAGUCACAAGACAUACUGAUCAGCAAAAAACAGUUUGAAGACACAAAGCAAGCAUCACACAGAGACUCUGAUACAGCAGGGACUUAGAAUUAUCAGACUGGGAACUUGCAAUGACUGUAAUUAACAUGCUAAGGUCUCUCAUAGAUCGAGCACACAGCAAGCAAGAACAGAUGCUCAAUGUAAGCAGAGAGGUGGAAAUGCUAAGACCCGAAAAGCAAUGCUAGAGAUAAAAAACACCAUAACAGAAAUGGAGAGUGCCUUUGGAACAGGCCAUCAAGGAAAGAGGCGCCUUUCUCUGAAGGGAGGAAGGAACCUCCACUGUGAUACGGCCUUGAUUAAACAAGUUCAGAGUUGGUGAACUCAAGGGGCUUCCAUAGCCUAGACAGCUCAUAGAAGAGUCUUGGGUGAUUGCUGACAUCAUAAAUAAGAGUGCCAAUUGUUAAAUCAACAAUGGGAGUCACUGGGUACAUGCUCCCCAUGUAGGAUCUCUGUCCUUAAUGUGUUUAACUAUGAAACUCAAAAACAACACUACUAGUCGAACAAUACCCUAUACCUUGUGCGGUUGUGUGAGUGCAGCCUGUUGAAAUCCCUGCUUAGUAUAUACUAAGUUGAUCUUCAGUAUAUGAAGAUAAAAAGAAAUGUCAAAAGAAGUUCUUCAGAGAGAAGGAAAAUGAUACAGAUACUCAGAUGUACCUAAAAAAAUAACAUCAGAGAAAGAAUGAGUGGAGGAGCCAGUUCUUUAGCAGAUGUGUUGAUAACAGUUGACUUUACAUCAUAGCAUUUAAGUUGCAGAUCAGAAGAACAGGAAACUCCAGCGGGGGCCUUGCAUCUUCUUCUGGGGAAAGGGUGGGCAAGUUCUCCAUGGAUGGGAUAACUGCAUCACGGCAGACAGAUGUAUGGCUUUUGUCUUUAUUUGGGGAUUAGGCAUGGCUUAGGGCAAUGUGUGUGGGUACCCCACUGACAAGGGGUGAGUUAUAAACGUUAGUUUUGGAUGUCAACUUGGGUAGGCCAUGGCACCAAGUUACUCUCAAGAGAACAAUUAGAUUUGUGUCUAGAUUAGUGUUCCUGGACAGGUAUUUUGUACAUGUGACUACAUGUAUCCAUAGCUGGCUAACUUGCAGGAGAAGACAUUAUGCUCUGUAUUUGUGUGAGCCUCAUCCAAUCAGUCGAAAGCCCUUAAAAGAAGAACUGAGGUUUCCCUGGGAAGAAGAAAUUUACUGGUAGACUCUGCCAACCCCACCUUAUAAAUUUUGGAGCUGUGUAGCCAGCCCUCACCAUCACACAAGCUAAUUCCCUGCUAGAAGCAGGGAAUACAUUAAAUACCCCGCUGGCUCUGUUUUCCUGGUAAAACACCACUGAUACGAGUUGCCACACAGAGAAACUGCAAUGCAGGAAGGCUCGCAGUGAAGAACAGCACUGGAAGGGCCGGCACGGGCAGGGCCAGCGUGCAUUAAAGGAGCAGGAAAGAGGCCAGUGUGGCCAGAUGAGAGUGAGCAAGGGGGAGAAAGGAAAGAGAGGAGGUUGCAUGAUUAACCACAAGAAGGGGCAAGGAGAGUACAGGCUGUGAGCGCAUCGGCAUCCUUAGCCUUCUUAUCCAGAAACUGAGCCACAACAUGACCAGAAAUGAUGCUGCCGUCAUCCAGACGUCUUCUCCUUCUCUGACAGGACACAAACAAGCGCUCCCCAAUCCCACUGCUGGCUGAAGCUGCCGUCUGCUACAGAGACCCUCCGUACUUAACUCAUACAACAUUCAUUCCCGCACACAUCCAGAAAACCCGCUGGGGGCUGCAGCACACAGGGAGUUUCUUCCUUAGCAAUACAGGAGCCAGGAGUCAGGUCAGAAAGAGACCCACCGUCCAAGCAUGAAUCAAGGACUGCACUGGCCACCUCCAGGCAGAGGGAUAGCUCAUAUUGCCACAUCUGGGUAAGAUGGAGGUUUGCCGGGUAGAGGAUUUCAUGCCCCUAAUCGGGACCAUUCACUGAAAAACAAGGCACAACUAAAGGUAGAUGAUAGUGACUGGGGUACAGCAAACCUGAUAAAGCAUAUUCUAGAGGCUUCUCACUUAUCCUAGCAAAAGGGAAAACACCACCACCACCAAGUUUCCUUACCACAAAACUUAUCCACAUAACAGUAAUUUUAAGUAUAUUUAUUAAGAUGGAAAAACAUUCCUGGUUAUAUAAAGGCAAGAGAAGACAACACACUGCUUCUCAGGAACACCCCGACUUCAUAAACAUUAACAUGGGAAAAAUUUAAUUUCUUAGCCUUUAGGACAAAGGAUGUAUGCAAAGAAAUGCAUAAAUGCACACCCCAAAAAAAGUGUAAUAAUAGCAUGUCAUUAGCAGGAUUAUAAGUGAUUUUUAUUUUCUUCUUUUUCUUCCUAUGACUUCUUUUUCCAUAACAGUAUGAAUUGCUCAAAUAACAAAACUGUCUAUAGCCAAUAAGUAAAACUCCACAUGUAUUUAGCACUUCUCGCUCCUUCCUUACGCACAUAAAAAAGUGGUUUGACACCUGAAAUCUCAAGCAAGUCGGAGUCAGUUUCUCCAGCCUGCUUUUACCUAUGGUAAAGUAGAAAACGCAAAGCAGCUGGACCACUCACCUGAAGUCAGCCUCUGUGAGGAGCAGCCCCGCCAAGACAGGCGUCUGGGGAUCCCAAAAGUCCCGUCCACGCCAACACAGCAGCUCUGAACCACUGUCUCUGGCCACACCUGCUGGGAGCGAGCCUUGCGAAGAGCCGCCCCUUGCGCUUACCUCUGCC